GAUGAACGCUGGCGGCGUGCCUAAUACAUGCAAGUCGAGCGAACGGACGAGAAGCUUGCUUUUCUGAUGUUAGCGGCGGACGGGUGAGUAACACGUGGAUAACCUACCUAUAAGACUUGGAUAACUUCGGGAAACCGUAGCUAAUACCGGAUAAUAUUUUGAACCGCAUGGUUCAAAAGUGAAAGACGGUCUUGCUGUCACUUAUAGAUGGAUCCGCGCUGCAUUAGCUAGUUGGUAAGGUAACGGCUUACCAAGGCAACGAUGCAUAGCCGACCUGAGAGGGUGAUAGGCCACACGGGAACUGAGACACGGUCCAGACUCCUACGGGAGGCAGCAGUAGGGAACGUUCCGCAAUGGGCGAAAGCCUGACGGAGCAACGCCGCGUGAGUGAUGAAGGUCUUCGGAGCGUAAAACUCUGUUAUUAGGGAAGAACAUAUGUGUAAGUAAAUGUGCACAUAUUGACGGUACCUAAACAGAAAGCCACGGCUAACUACGUG
rnacentral:rRNA from 1 species